rnacentral:rRNA from 1 species
CACGUAGUUAGCCGGUGCUUUUUCUGCAGGUACCGUCAAGAACCGAAGCUCCCUUCUUCCCUACUAAAAGAGGUUUACAACCCGAAGGCCGUCAUCCCUCACGCGGCGUUGCUGCAUCAGGCUUUCGCCCAUUGUGCAAUAUUCCCCACUGCUGCCUCCCGUAGGAGUCUGGGCCGUGUCUCAGUCCCGGUGUGGCCGGUCACCCUCUCAGGCCGGCUACCCGUCGUCGCCUUGGUGAGCCAUUACCUCACCAACAAGCUGAUAGGCCGCGAGUCCAUCCCCAACCAAAAAUCUUUCCACCACCAGGCCAUGCGACCAGUGAUCAUAUCCAGUAUUAGACGUCGUUUCCAACGCUUAUCCCAGAGUCAGGGGCAGGUUACUCACGUGUUACUCACCCGUUCGCCACUAAUCACAGGAGCAAGCUCCUGAUCAUCGUUCGACUUGCAUGUGUUAAGCACGCCGCCAGCGUGUCCUGUAGCCAGGAGUCAACUAC